CGGGGGCGACCCCAGGGAAAGUGCCACAGAAAGCAAACCGCCCUCACGCUUCGGCAUGGGGGCAAGGGUGAAAGGGUGCGGUAAGAGCGCACCGCGCCGCCGGUAACGGCGGUGGCAUGGUAAACCCCACCGGGAGCAAGAACAAAUAGGGGCGGCAGCCGGUUCGCCGGCAGACGGGUUUUCGAGCCGCCGCCCGGGUAGGUCGCGCGAGGCGCCUGGCGACAGGCGUCCCAGAUGAAUGGCCAUCCCCCGGCCUCGUGGCCGGGGACAGAACCCGGCUUACAGGCCAUCUGGCUUU
rnacentral:RNase_P_RNA from 1 species